GGUUAAACUGGGCCUAACUGGGGCUUCCUUAAACCAGGAUCAUUUAAAGCCUGCCCUGCUCAGGCUCAUUAAAUUGGGCUCAACAUCGGCUUCAUUAAACCAGGCUUAAUUCAGGCUUUGUUAAACCCGGCUCAAUUUAAGCUUCAUUAAACCAGGCUCAGUUUGGGCUUUAUUAAAUCGUGGCUUUGUUAAACCAGGCUCAGUUCGGGCCUCAUUAAAUCGUGGCUUUGUUAAACCAGGCUCAGUUCGGGCCUCAUUAAAUCGUGGCUUUGUUAAACCAGGCUCAGUUGGGGCUUUAUUAAAUCGUGGCUUUGUUAACCCGGCCUCCAUUCUGUCUUCCUUACCCGGGCUUCACUUGGGCUUUGUUAAACCGGGCUGAGCUCAGGCUUCCUUCAACCACCUCGGGCUUCCUUCUGCUCUCUUUGGCUCUUCCUUAAGCCAGGUUCAAUUAAACCCCCGGCAUUAAUUGUUGCCCUCCCCAAUUAAGCCCCGGCAUUAAUUGUUGCCUUCCCCCCCCAGGGCCGCCUGGGCUUCGCCGCCCGCCCCGAGCUCUUCCUCCUCGGCCACGUCGGUUCCGACCCGUCCGUGCCCAGGUGACCCCGGAGCCCGCGGACCCCCGGGACCCCCAGGACCCCCGGUGUGGGGGAAUGGACCCCCGGGACCCCCCCGAGCCCCGGGCGGGCGGCGGGAGCGGAGUGGGACACCGGGAGCAGGAGGACACCUGGGGACACCUGAGCCAGCUUUGGGGACACCCAGGACAGACUUGGGGACACCCGGGCCGGCUUUGGGGACACCUCAGCCAGACUUGGGGACACUCAGAGCAGCUCUGGGGACAUCUGAGCCAGCCUUGAGGACAACUGGGCCACUCCUGGGGACACCUGGGACAGCCCUCGGGACACCGGGCCAGCUUUGGGGACACCUGGGAUGGUCUUGGGGACAUGUGGGACAGCCUUGGGGACACUCAGACCGGCCUUGGGGACACCCAGGACAUCCCUGGGGACACCUAGGCCAGCUUUGGGGACAGUCAAGGCCACCUUGGGGACACCCAGGCCAGGCUUGGGGACACUUGGGCCAGCUCUGGGGACACUGGGCUGGUCUUGGGGACACCCGGGCCAGUCCUGGGGCUUUUCCCUAAUUCAGGAAUUUUCCAUUUGGGAUUUCCCAGAUUUUCACUCAGGUCACUCCAGCAGGAUUUUGCUCCUCGGGGUUUUUUUCCCUAACUGGGGAAUGUUCCAGUUGGGAUUUCCCAAGAAAAUGAAAGCCAGGUUUAAUUCCCAAGAAAAUGAAAGCCAGGUUUAGUUCCCAAGAAAAUUAAAGCCAGGUUUAAUUCCCAAGUAAAGCCAGGUUUGCUGCCAGGCUCAGCUUUGGGGACAGAGCAUUUCCCACGAUUUCCAGCAUUUCUGGGGUUUUCCAGAACCCCAAAUCCCCCCUCAGGGAGGUCUGAGGGCAGCAGCUCCCAUAAAACCCAGCAGGAUUCCCACCGGGAAUUUCCCUCUCUGCAGCUUUCAGAUUUAGAAAUUAAAAUUUGAGAAAUAAAAAUGGUUUUAGAAAUAAAACUUUGGCUGCU
ensembl:lncRNA